rnacentral:rRNA from 1 species
GUGCCAGCAGCAGCGGUAAUACGUAGGGACCAAGCGUUGUUCGGAUUUACUGGGCGUAAAGGGCGCGUAGGCGGCCUGGCAAGUCACUUGUGAAAUCUCCGAGCUUAACUCGGAACGGUCAAGUGAAACUGCCAUGCUAGAGUGCAGAAGGGCAAUCGGAAUUCUUGGUGUAGCGGUGAAAUGCGUAGAUAUCAAGAGGAACACCUGAGGUGAAGACGGUUGCUGGGCUGACACUGACGCUGAGCGCGAAAGCCAGGGGAGCAAACGGGAUUA